ensembl:lncRNA
AAAAAAUUAGGUGACAGGUCAAGAAUAACAACGGAAAGAACGGAAAGAACGGAAAAAACGGAAAGAACCUCCACAGAGACAGAAACAUACGGCAGAAUAUUAGGUGACAGAACGGAAAGAACGGAAAAAACGGAAAGAACCUCCACAGAGACAGAAACAUACGGCAGAAUAUUAGGUGACAGUUCAAGAACAAGCACGGAAAGAAAGGAAAGAACGGAAAGAACCUCCAGAGAGACAGAAACAUACGGCAGAAAAUUAGGCGACAGGUGAAGAACAACAACGGAAAUAACAGAAUAAAACGAAAUAACGGAAAUAAUAGCGGAAAUAACAGAAAUAAUAACAGAAAUAACAAAAAUAAUAACGCAAAUAAGAACGGAAAUAAGAGCAGAAAUCAUGGAAAUUAUAACGGAAAUAAUAACCUAAAUAAAGGAAAUAAGAGAAAUAACGGAAAUAACCUCCGAAAGACAGAAACAUACGGCAGAAAAUUAACUGGCAGGUCAAGAACAACAACGGAAAUAACGGAAAUAACGGAAAUAACGGAAAUAACGGAAAUAACGGGAAUAACCUCGACAGAGACAGAAACUUACGGCAGAAAAUUAACUGACAG